AGCUAAGCUGGUUUGGCAUGCAUGGGGUGCAAGGGGUCGAGUGUUCGAAUCACUCCGUCCCGACCA
rnacentral:tRNA from 1 species